UAAAAGCAUUAAUUUUUAGUACGCCCUGCUCAAUGAGACUUAAAUAGCCGCAAAAUUUGUGCUAAGGUAGCAUAAUCAUUUGCCUAAUAAUUAUAGGAUAGAAUGAAUGGGACUACAUGUAAUUUACUUUAUUAAAAAAAUUUUUUUAACUUACCAGGUAAGCAAGAACACUUACCGCAUUAGGGGGACGAUAAGACCCUGUCAAACUUUACCUCAGAGGUUUAGCUGGGGCGGCAAGAAAUUAAACCUUUACUUUUCACUUCUAACAAAACCUAGAUAAUAGAUAAAACAAGUUACUGCAGGGAUAACAGCACUAUCAUCUUUCAAAGACCUUAUAAAAAAGUUGGCUUGUGACCUCGAUGUUGAAUUAAAGAUCUCUUUGAGGUAGUCCUCAAAAAAGAAAGUCUGUUCGACUUUUAAACCAUU
rnacentral:rRNA from 1 species